rnacentral:rRNA from 1 species
UACGUAGGGGGCGAGCGUUGUCCGAAUUUAUUGGGCGUAAAGCGCGUGUAGGCGGCUCUUUAAGUCAGAUGUGAAAUCCCGCAGCCCAACUGCGGAACUGCAUUUGAUACUGGGGAGCUUGAGUGUGGGAGAGGAAAGUGGAAUUCCAGGUGUAGCGGUGAAAUGCGUAGAUAUCUGGAGGAACACCCGUGGCGAAGGCGGCUUUCUGGCCCACCACUGACGCUGAGACGCGAAAGCUAGGGGAGCGAAC